UUUCUUAUUGAUUCGAAGAUCAUAAAAAGCUUUUUCUCAUUGAUUCGGAGAUUAUUAGAAACUUUUUCUUAUUGAUUCGGAGAUUAUAAAAAGCUUUUUCUCAUUGAUUCGUAGAUUAUAAGUUUUUUUAUUAUUGAUUCGGCAGUUAUAAAAAAAACUUUUUCUUAUCGAUUCGUAGACUAAGUUCUCUGUCAUCUCUUCUCUUCAAUGCUUUGCUUACACGGGCCCUACACAGGGUCAUGGACCUUUACUAGUUUUGUAACUCUUGAGAUGAAGUAAGCAAAAAGCGACUUCAUUUGACUCAUAUGAUAUCUGCUCAACGCUGUUCAAUCACAACCUAUGUUUUUGCUUCAAAGCUGAUAUUUUGCAACAACUUGUCUACCUACCAGGAUCCUCUGCCAGAAUCUAACCUGCUACUAACGAGCCCCAUCAGUUCCACAGGAGAUUGACGAGGACAAGAUGAAACUAGCAUCGCCUGGCCUCAAGCAAAUCCUUCAGACCAUCAAGACGAUCAAAGUUCCUAAAGAGUGUAUUCCUGGAAAGGACAGUGGAAGCAGAGAGAUCCUCAAGCAAUUGACAGACUUCGUGUUCGGAUGCCCCAAGAUUCAGUUCGGGCGUAAACUUCGGUACUACCUGGACCUGUGAAGAAGUCAGAAGAUGCCAGGGGACCUGAUGAAACGUCCACGAAGUAUGCCAAGGAUUCUGGGGGCUAAAAAGGCUUUUAGUUAAAUGCAAAGUCUCAGCCUUCCAUACAAAGGUUAGCGGAUCUACGUAUGUGUGAGAUCUCGCUAAAAGUCAUCCUAGUUGGUAUGUAAGAGGAAACCUAGAAGACGGAAUAUGUACUAAUUCAAGCGUCAUCUUUUCAUUAUAUGCUUUACUGUAGGUCCUUAUGAGCAUUAGUGACCUCUAGUAUAUAUAUAUAUUAAUGACAUGAGUAGAAGAUCCCUUGUACUCAGUGAUACUAGAUAUUCACUGAAUCUAGAAGUGAGACCGGAUCUCAUUAUCCCAUCCAUGUGGUUGGUGGUUAGAAAUUUAGAUUGUCAUCGAUUUUGUUCUUCAUGCAUAAACAUUCCCAUUUUUUGCUUACAUGUUUUCUUGUUGAAUUUACUCUCAUUGUUUCUAAUGAAAAGCGUUAACAGGUCUGCAGAUUAUUAUUAUUAUUAUUAUUAUUAUUAUUAUUAUUAUUAUUAUUAUUAUUAUUAUUAUUAUUAUUAUUAUUAUUAAAAAUAAUAGCAGAAUUUAAAGAACUGAUUUUAUACAAAAUUAUCUCAAUUCUUCUGAUGUCUUGUUUUUGUAUAAAAUCAAUUCUGUAAAUUCUGCAUUAUUUUUAAUAAAACAUGUUUGAAAGAAUGUCUGUUUCCUGCAUAUUAUUAUUAUUAUUAUUACUAUUAUUAUUAUUAUUAUUAUUAUUAGUAGUAGUAUUAUUACUAGAAAACUUACCCAUCUACGAUGGGUGAUAAAAUACGGGUGCAGAAGUGAAAAAUUUAUAUGCACUAUUUGUUCAGCAAUAUUAAAAUAAGGGCGAUUUUUAUACAUACCUACUACAGAACCUCUUUGUACACAAUAUUAUCAUAUUGUCCACAACUUAAUUUCAAGUUGGCAGAGUCAGUUGCUCUGCUCAUCGCCACAUACAGUUGGCCAUGCGUGAACAUGGGUGACGGCAGAAACACACCAACACGAUCCAAAGUCUGGCCCUGCGACUUGUUUGCAGUGAAUGAGAAGGCCAGGUUGCCGGGAUACAGCCUGCGCCGUAACUGGAACGGAAACUGGUUGUCCGAAGGCAUCAGAGGAAUCUGGGGGAUGGACAGACGUUUGCUAUCACUGCUUCGAGGACGUGGGAGUUUAGCUCCAUAAUGGUGUACCUCGUUCCGUUGCAAUGUCCAUUGGCAGGAUCGAAAUUCCGAAGCAACAUUACCGGGCAGUACUUCUUCAACGUUAUUUUGGGCACUGGCAGUCCCGAUGAAUUUAAGUUAUUCCAAAAAUCUUGCGGAUAUUGAUGAUAAUUUUCAUCUUCUAUUAUGUCCGAGCUGAAAUAUUCGCGACUUUCUCCGGGGAAGUUGUACAGGAAUUAUGUAUGAAAAUUUGUAAAGUAACUAAGUCUACGGGAAUAACCAGCCUCGUUUCACGGCCAGAAACAGCUCCGUUUCAGGGAAUCCCUUCUCACCCCCACCCCCUACAAAGGAGGGGGGGUAGGGUGGAUGAAACCCCAUUACAAACCAUCUUAGGGGUCCCCACCUUAACCCUGCCAAGUUUCAUGCCCAUCUGACCAGCCGUUUGGCCGUGAUUGAAUGACAGACACAGACAUUACGCCCAUUAUAGUAUGAUUAUUAUUAUUAUUAUUAUUAUUAUUAUUGUUAUUAUUAUUAUAUACAGAGUUUCAGUACACAACACCAGCUUGGGUUUUCUUAACAGAAAGAAAUUAAUUUAAGAACUCCUUUGGAGUAUUCUUGACGAUACAGUUACAUUCCUAUUCAUUUUCCAUUUUAUCAGUCAUUAAGUGCUUUAUUCAAUUAUCAGAAGAGUAACUAAAUCUAAGCCAAGUGGGACUGCAAUGACAUCUAUGAUUAACGUAGAGAAAUUAUAUUUUCCAUACAGAAGACGCAAUUUUCCUUAAGCUCACUGACAAACACACUACUUAUGCGAACUUCUACGGUAUUACGAAAUUCAGUAUUAUUAUUAGGUUCAUUCACUGCUUUUUCAUGAGACGCUUGUUAUCCACUGAAGAUAGCUUUUGUCAUUUCUUACUCGAAAAUCCUGUUUAAGAAUUCCUUGCAUUCACAUGUAAAUGGUUCACAUUUCAUAUUUAACUCCAGAGGUCUAAGGUCAGACUAUAUUGAUUCUGUGGCUGACUAUCACAAAGACAGAGGGAGAAUUUUUACCUUGGAAGUCGUUGAUGAAUUUAACAUACCAUUCAGCUAAAUGACCAAAAUGAAU